CAGCAGCCACUGUAAUACAGAGGGUGCGAGCGUUAAUCGGAUUUACUGGGCGUAAAGCGUGCGUAGGCGGCUUCUUAAGUCGGAUGUGAAAUCCCUGAGCUUAACUUAGGAAUUGCAUUCGAUACUGGGAAGCUAGAGUAUGGGAGAGGAUGGUAGAAUUCCAGGUGUAGCGGUGAAAUGCGUAGAGAUCUGGAGGAAUACCGAUGGCGAAGGCAGCCAUCUGGCCUAAUACUGACGCUGAGGUACGAAAGCAUGGGGAGCAAACAGGAUUAGAGACCCCUGUAGUCCCUGUCUCUUAUAC
rnacentral:rRNA from 1 species